AGGUUCUUCCUCAAGAAAAAUUCUAAGAAGUUACUAAUAAAAUUGGAAGAUUUUAAGGUAAACUGCAAAAGACAAAGAGAAUUCCUCCACUGAGGCCGGAAAUUGGGCCCACGGGAAUUAGCUGAAUGGCUGCAAUGUAUCUUCCAUAGAAGACUGGCAGUAUCUUUUGAUGAAACUCCUAACAACAAUGGCAAUUGCCUAAGAAGUAUCUUGAGAGCUGUAUUCAUUGUGGAAGCCAUGGGCAAAUCUGGGAAGAUACUUCUGAAGUACUUCCAAAAUGAACAGACUGUUCAGCUGAAACUCAGAUAGAGGGGAAAACUUAUACUGCAAAAGAAAGCAUGGUGACCCAGGGUAAGCAUAAACUCUGGUAGCAAAAUGAAAACAGCCCUGCUGAGCCAUCUGGUUAAUGCUCUACCAGUGACACCGUUCAUGAGAAAGCAGAGUGAUAAGCCAGGAGGAAGAUGAAAAAAGAAGAAAAAGUAAAACUUCAAAAAAACAUGGAACCACUCCCAUCACCUGAAGCUUAGACCACACACCUGAAAGGGAGUAACCCACAUCCAGCUCCAGCACAGAGUAUGAACAGCCUUAUCUCCCUUUCAAUUCCACCAUUUUGCAGAUGUCUUAUAUACUUACAUAAAGUGUUUAUAAAGAAGGAAUUGCGUAUUUAUUUCCUGUUUCUUUAAUAAUUAUAGUAACUUAUGAUAUUAUAAACUUUCAUGAGCCGCAGCAUCUCCUCAUAGUUCCUGCAUUACUGCCAUUUGGCUCCCGGUUGUUACAGUUUCCUUCACUUCCCAGCUCCACCUGGGACUACUUGCUCUGUUAAGAUCCUAAACCAACCCUGCUUAUUGUUGUUCUGUGUGUGAAGAAGCAGGAAAUGUGUGGGUAGUGGAUGUGGGAGCAUAUUUGUGAUCUGCUGUAUCAUUUCAAUAGUCACGUACAUGUACCGUGCACAAUACACAGACUGCCUUCUCUUCAGUUAAUCCACAAGUCAACAACUAAUCACAUACAACACUGUAGUCAUCUCCACAAGUUAAGAUAUGCCCUGGAACACCUGAUUUUAAGGAGUUACUUGAAAGACAGGAAAAUCCUUACUAGCUGUAGAGUUGUGCUAAAGAUUAAACCACUUUGAAGCAGAAACAAAUUGCCGAAAGCCUUAUGUUGGAGACUAUUAUUUGACACCGCUCCUAUCUCAGACCGAAGGGGAAGCAGAAGCCAGCGCUGGAGCAAGGUGCAAGGGUCUGUCCCGCCAGCUGCCAUGUGCCUGCAUUAGCCUGCGUGGCACAGCAGCAUCCAUGCUGAUGCACAGCCCCUAAUUCCCAGAGAGGAAUCUUUCCCACUUUUGCUCUUGAACCAACACAGCACUCCUUACAACGUGAAAUUGAAACUUGUCAUACCCUUCUGAUGUACAUACACCUUAACCCUCUUCUCUUAAAACAGAUCAGUCUCACCGAUGUUACAGUACUGAGGUAUCUAAUUAGGUGGUCUAACAGAUUUAUGUUACUUGAAUGUAUAAAGAAAUGGAAAUAGUAUAAAAAUAUGGAGAAGACAACCAAAAAUGUGUAUGCCUAAACACAACUUUUUUUUCUGUGUCUCCAUACUAAUUAAUCUUCUUUUAGGAAACAACAGAUCUAUAUCUCCCCGAGUCAAAGCACCAAGAAAUCUAAUGGAAAGGAACGCAACACAAGAAAUGGAUCGAAUAUGAUCGAGAAAAAAAGCUCUCCGCAUUUUACAUAGAAAAUAUUUUCUGAGUGCUUCUUCAUAUAGAUGCCAAGUGGUAUUUUUAUUAACUUAUUGAUGAGGCCACCUUCUCAUAGAAAUAUAAAUUCUUUUAGCUUGGAAAAUUGUUAUUGAUUUUCAUUUUAAAAUGGCA